AUUGAACGCUAGCGGGAUGCUUUACACAUGCAAGUCGAACGAGUGGCGGACGGGUGAGUAAUAUAUCGGAACGUGCUCAGUAGCGGGGGAUAACUAUUCGAAAUGGUGCCUAAUACCGCAUACUCUUGGAGCGUCCGAUAUCGGCUUAGCUAUUUGGUGGGGUAAAGGCUCACCAAGGCAACGAUCCGUAGCUGGUUUGAGAGGACGACCAGCCACACUGGGACUGAGACACGGCCCAGACUCCUACGGGAGGCAGCAGUGGGGAAUGUUGGACAAUGGGGGAAACCCUGAUGCAGCCAUCCCGCGUGUGUGAGAAGGCCUUCGGGGUGUAAAGUACUUUUGUCAGAGAAGCGGUAUCUGCAGAAUAAGCACCGGCUAACUACGUGCCAGCAGCCGCGGUAAUAC
rnacentral:rRNA from 1 species